GAUGAACGCUAGCGGCAGGCUUAAUACAUGCAAGUCGAGGGGUAACAUGGUAGCAAUACUGAUGACGACCGGCAAACGGGUGCGGAACACGUACAGAACCUUCCUUUAAGCGGGGGAUAGCCCAUAGAAAUGUGGAUUAAUACCCUAUAGUAAUGCUGGGUGGCAUCACCUGGUAUUUAAAGAUUUAUCACUUAAAGAUGGCUGUGCGGCUGAUUAGGUAGUUGGUGUGGGAACGGCCCACCAAGCCAUCGAUCAGUAACUGGUGUGAGAGCACGACCAGUCACACGGGCACUGAGACACGGGCCCGACUCCUACGGGAGGCAGCAGUAAGGAAUAUUGGUCAAUGGACGCAAGUCUGAACCAGCCAUGCCGCGUGAAGGAUGAAGGCCCU
rnacentral:rRNA from 1 species